GACGAACGCUGGCGGCGUGCUUAACACAUGCAAGUCGAACGGAAAGGCCCUGCUUGCAGGGUACUCGAGUGGCGAACGGGUGAGUAACACGUGGGUGUUCUGCCCUGCACUUCGGGAUAAGCCUGGGAAACUGGGUCUAAUACCGGAUAGGAGCCAUUUUUAGUGUGAUGGUUGGAAAGUUUUUUCGGUGUAGGAUGAGCUCGCGGCCUAUCAGCUUGUUGGUGGGGUAAUGGCCUACCAAGGCGGCGACGGGUAGCCGGCCUGAGAGGGUGGACGGCCACAUUGGGACUGAGAUACGGCCCAGACUCCUACGGGAGGCAGCAGGGGGGAAUAUUGCACAAUGGGCGCAAGCCUGAUGCAGCGACGCCGCGUGGGGGAUGACGGCCUUCGGGUUGUAAACGCCUUUCGCUAGGGACGAAGCUUUUUGUGACGGUACCUAGAUAAGAAGCACCGGCUAACUACGUG
rnacentral:rRNA from 1 species